UACGUAGGGGGGCAAGCGUUGUCCGGAUUUAUUGGGCGUAAAGAGCGUGUAGGCGGUUAUGCAGGUCCGCUGUGAAAACUGGGAGGCUUAACCUCCAGACAUCGGUGGAAACCGUAUGACUAGAGUCCGGAAGAAGGAGAGUGGAAUUCCUGGUGUAGCGGUGAAAUGCGCAGAUAUCAGGAGGAACACCGGUGGCGAAGGCGGGGUCUCUGGGCCGAUACUGACGUGGAGGAGCGAAAGCGUGGGGAGCGAACAGG
rnacentral:rRNA from 1 species